rnacentral:snRNA from 1 species
AUAUUUGAAUGGCGUAGGAGUUGCCGUGAACGAGAAGGCGGUUUCUUCGGCGUGAGGUUUGGUCAUUGCAAUGUAGCUUGAGCUGAUCUACGCAAUGAUUCUUAAUGUGAAUAACUCGCGCUUGUAAUUUUUGUCAAAAUAUUGCGAACAUUUGUGACUUGUA